UGCGUAGGUGGCGCUGUAAGUGGGGUGUGAAAUCCCGGGGCUUAACCCCGGGACUGCAUUCCAUACUGCGGUGCCUGAGGACUGGAGAGGAGACUGGAAUUUACGGUGUAGCAGUGAAAUGCGUAGAGAUCGUAAGGAAGACCAGUGGCGAAGGCGGGUCUCUGGACAGUUCCUGACACUGAGGCACGAAGGCCAGGGAGCAAACG
rnacentral:rRNA from 1 species